CGUCUGGAAAGGCGCGCGAUACAGGGUGACAGCCCCGUACACAAAAGCGCAUGUGCUGUGAGCUCGAUGAGUAGGGCGGGACACGUGGUAUCCUGUCUGAAUAUGGGGGGACCAUCCUCCAAGGCUAAAUACUCCUGACUGACCGAUAGUGAACCAGUACCGUGAGGGAAAGGCGAAAAGAACCCCGGCGAGGGGAGUGAAAAAGAACCUGAAACCGUGUACGUACAAGCAGUGGGAGCACAGGUUUACCUGUGUGACUGCGUACCUUUUGUAUAAUGGGUCAGCGACUUAUAUUCUGUAGCAAGGUUAACCGUAUAGGGGAGCCGAAGGGAAACCGAGUCUUAACCGGGCGUUAAGUUGCAGGGUAUAGACCCGAAACCCGGUGAUCUAGCCAUGGGCAGGUUGAAGGUUGGGUAACACUAACUGGAGGACCGAACCGACUAAUGUUGAAAAAUUAGCGGAUGACCUGUGGCUGGGGGUGAAAGGCCAAUCAAACCGGGAGAUAGCUGGUUCUCCCCGAAAGCUAUUUAGGUAGCGCCUCGUGAAUUCAUCUCCGGGGGUAGAGCACUGUUUCGGCUAGGGGGCCAUCCCGGCUUACCAACCCGAUGCAAACUGCGAAUACCGGAGAAUGUUAUCACGGGAGACACACGGCGGGUGCUAACGUCCGUCGUGAAGAGGGAAACAACCCAGACCGC
rnacentral:rRNA from 1 species